GACCCAGUGGUGAAAUGUGUCAUGCCUGCAAACUAUACGGUGUGUAUUUUCAAGGAGUGAUACAAGCAGGAGUCCCCGGUUCGAUUCCGGGCUGGGUCC